UUCUCUUCACCUCAUUCACAAGCCCUAGGAAGACGAAACAAACGUGCGAUUUCCACUCGGAACUCUCCUUCCUUGCCACCCCAGUUGGAGAAGAUUGAAGAUUCACGGUUCCCUUCCAUGGAGAAUGCUGAAAAACACGGUAACUCUAUCUGUCUCUUGAAUCUUCCUGAACUCAUUCUUGAUUGCAUCCUCAAACGCCUCUCACCAAUGGAGCUCAUCAAAAUGUCCGAGGUGUGCACUUGUUUAAGGGAUGCAUGUAGAAGCGAUCAUCUGUGGGAAAACCUCAUCAACCAGAAAUGGGGUAGAAUCAUUAAUGGUGAGUCUACUUUCAAAGAGUGGCAAUGGCACCUAACAAAAUUGAAUUCAAUAGAAACCCUCUUUAACAUCAAUCUGGAUUGGUCACUUGGGUCUUUGUGUGGUUCUUUGCAUGAGCUAUGCAUUGGCUCAUAUCUAGAAGGUUGUGGGCAUGUUCAGAGGUUCUUGUCAAAUAAUCCCAUGAUGGGUCUUUACUUGUCUCUAGACACUGGCAAGUUCUGGUUUCCAGCUCAAGUGUACUGCGAUUGCGCUCUCGUUUCCAACGUCUUAUUUAGCUAUGACUCCAACACUGAUACCUUUAAAGCAAGGGCACCAAGUUGGGGAUGGAAGGUUAUAGGGCACGGUUUCCGCUGGGAAAAGCUGAGAAUUUCCCCAGUUGAAGACCCUACAUGUGUUCGUUACUUCUGUGACUGUUUGGAAGACUUAUAGCCUGUUGAUCAUGUCGAGAUCCAAUACAAAGAAAGGCGUGAAGCUCAUUAUGAUUGGUUAUACGGUAUUAUUGAUCACUUGGACUCAUGUAAUGAGAAUGAGGGUUACUGUAGCUGUCGUGAUUCAGGGACGCUGGUUGUAAGGCUCAGGGAUUACCUUGAUGGGCAACUUGCCGGAAUUACGCAAGUCUAUCUACCAAGAGAUAAUAUUGGGAGAGAAGGAGACAUGCGCACUGGAUUCUAUGGAGGAAUCAGAAAGCUUAACAGUGAAGAAGAGAUUCAAAAAUGGAUGGAGCAAUUUAGCUAAUGAUCGUUGCUUGUUCACAGAGCAAAACUUUGCAUUUCAAUAUAUUUUAUUGUAGGUAAUGGUUUUUGCUGUGAAAUUUCUAUUAGCAAAACACAUGAAAUGAAUUAUGGCAGUCAGAUUUUAAUCCCAGUCUAAUAGUGUAUGGUUACUCAUUUUCGAGUUUUUCUCCA